UAUGUGAAUGGGGCAACUUUGGAGCUUUUUCUAAAAUCAGGAGGCAUUGCGGGCAAGUGGGGGGCACAGGUCAGGCAAUGUGGAAGUACUUGGCCUGGGCCCAGCUGAGCUGUGCCCUAGGCUAACCUGUGGAGUCCAGCUGGUGAGCCCCUGGAGGGUAACUCAUCCCACCACACCCGGCCUGGGCCGCAGCGGGAGCAGGACCUGGCAACCUGGGGAUAUUGGGAGGAGACCUUCCUGAUGGCCGGGUGCCCUCAACACUCAGCCCUACCUCCCAAUGCCCACUGCCCCUGGAGUCCUUUGCUUCCCUCCCCACUGAGAGCUGAGGACACCGGGGCCCUGGGUCACCUGUUUGUCUUUCCUGACCUUCACCCUGUACUUGGGAGCCAUCGGCUUUGUCCCAGGCUGAGCAGGACCAUCCUGGCAUCCAGGGUAGGUAGCCCUGCUUCUCCAGGUUCAGGCCACACCAGCAGGCUAAACCCAGGGACAGGGACCGACUCCCACCCUGCACCCUGACCUCUAGGGCAGAGCCUGUCAUGCAGUAAGUGCUUAGCAAACACUAAACAAACACCUUAAGUUCUUCCUUUAACCCCCAAAACUCCUUUCUUGUCUGUGGUCUACCCUUGGCCCGUGGGUUGAGACAAUCCCUUUUAGAGGCUGAGUGGCAAGGAGGUCAGAAGCCCAAAUGCUAAAGAGAAUUAGCUUUGCGCCAUGCUUACACAACACAGUUCUCACACAGACAAAAGGCAGUUACUGUUAGGGAGAGGGUAAAAGUAAAGCCAGCUUUCAUUUUAAUGCUAUUUGUAUAAUCUGAAUCUUGUCAUAAUUGCAACCUUUAAAUGUUUCUGGAAGCCCCCUUACUUGGGAGUUUGAGCCUGAGUUCUGCAGCUGAUAGCUGCAUGUAACCACGGGCAGAUGGUAGCAGGACUUCCCAGCCUCACCUUCCACAUCUGCAAACAGGGGCAAUGGUGCAGCUCACAAAGGGUCUGGGGCAUAGCCCCUAAUGGCAGCUGAUGAAACUCAGGGCUAGUCAAGCCUCUGUCAGCAGCUUCUCUCUGGCCCUCCCACCCCAUUACCUCCCCUGGGGAACUUGCCCAGGGCUUGCCUCCCAGUCUGGCCUUGGGGACCCGCUGGAUCAUGUUGACCUGUAGCACCAUGGCCCCCACCUGGCCCUCUGAAGGACCGCCCUUUCUGAGAAGCCAUCACACCCCACCACAUGGCCCCUGCAGGUGGCCCUCCAGGUACUACAUGAUACUUUGCCAUGUCCCCAGGUGGAAGGCUCAUGCAGGCCCUAGAAGCCUGUGUCCAACAGUGUUAAACAGGGCCAUGAACCUCUAUGUGAAUGAGUGUGUGGCCUCUCAGAGCCAGUACCUGAAGUGUAUCAGGUACUUAUCUCCCCCCGGGGUCUGUGGG